rnacentral:lncRNA from 1 species
AGAGACAGCCUGAUUUCUUUCCCUUUUUUCUUUUGUUUUUGUUUUGUUUUGUUUUGUUUGCCUGUGUCCUCAUUCCCCCCGGCCUGCCCGGCCUGCAGUCCGGGGGAGGUUUCAGGUUGCAUUAGUGUCACCUCCCGUGCCUCGGCAGCUGGUGCCGGGCCAGCCUCCCACAGGCAGGACAGCCCCCGAGGUCACCCCAGGGGUGGCAGAGCUCAGCAGGCAGAUCGGCUGGGCAGCAGAGCACACACAUGGCACCUCUUCCCGUCUCUAGCUCCUGCUUCCAGUUGCCAUAGGGAACUUCACCGUACUGUGCAAUGCCUCUGGUAUCUAACCUCAUUAAAGGAGCUCAUCUAAUUCCACCAUACUGAGGAAACUCUCACCUCCCUCAAAGGCAAUGAUUCAAGAUAGUAAUCAGUGCAACGAGGAUGUCUGAGGGUUUUUCUAUCUACUGCUUCAGUCUGGGCUAUACUUUUCCUUCCCUCUUUACUGUAGCCACAAACACUGAGCUCGCCUUGCCGAGUGAGGCAUCCAGUCUCUUCUUGCAUACAGUGCCUCGGGUAUAUUUAAAUUUAAGCCAAGUGCCAAAUAAUUAAAAGGGGCCCUGAGCACACCCAGAAGAGACUAUUUUCUUCUUUUCCAUACUCUUCCCUCUUUACUGCUCUCUGUUAUUGCUUUCUCUGGUCUCUGUCAUCAUUUUCCUUUGCAGCCUUCUGGGGUCUGAGCAGAGGAAGAUGCCUCUCCUGAAGAAGAACCUUAAAAGAUAUACGUUCAGCCCUGAAACAUAGUUACAGCUGCUGACCAUCGCAUCUUUUUCCCUGGCUGUGAUAGGAUCACCCUCAGGAUUCAGGUUAUGUCUUAAUAAGGUCUGACCUAACAAUAUGACGCUGGCUAAAGUUCCUCUGUUCACAUCUCUGGAGAUAAAGUUAAGAAGCUCUGACCUUGAAAUUAUGAGUCAUGAAAGGACUGACAGCAACCACACACAGGAAAUGGAGAUUUUCUGGAAAACUGAGGACACUCCCACUUCCACUUCCUUUACCUGAGGGUACCUGUCCCCAUCCUUCAGGCUGGCACAGCAAACCCUCAUCAGGACCAGUGAAAGGUCCAGAGAGCCAGAUGAGAGGUGGCUGAGGGAGCUGGGGUUGUUUAGCCUGGGUAAAAGAAGAAGAUCUGAUCACUCUCUAUAACCACCUGAAAGGAGGCUGUAGCCAGGUGAGGAUCGGUCACUUCCCCCAGGCAGACGGAGACAGGACAAGAUGAAAUGGCCUCAAGAUGCUGUAGGGGAGGUUCAGGUUGGACAUCAGGAAAAUCCAUCACAGAAAAGUGGUGAGGUGUUGGAAUGGGCUGCCUGGGAAGG